CGUUGUUCGGAUUCACUGGGCUUAAAGGGCGCGUAGGCGGUCACGCACGUCCGUUGUGAAAUCGCUCGGCUCAACUGGGCGGGGUCAGCGGAUACGGCGUGGCUGGAGCAAGCUAGGGGGCAAUGGAAUUCCCGGUGUAGUGGUGGAAUGCGUAGAUAUCGGGAGGAACACCAGUGGCGAAGGCGGUUGCCUGGAGCUUUGCUGACGCUGAUGCGCGAAAGCGUGGGGAGCGAUCCGG
rnacentral:rRNA from 1 species